rnacentral:rRNA from 1 species
GACGAACGCUGGCGGCGUGCUUAACACAUGCAAGUCGAACGGCAAGGCCCUGCUUUUGUGGGGUGCUCGAGUGGCGAACGGGUGAGUAACACGUGAGUAACCUGCCCUUGACUUUGGGAUAACUUCAGGAAACUGGGGCUACUACCGGAUAGGAGCUCCUGCUGCAUGGUGGGGGUUGGAAAGUUUCGGCGGUUGGGGAUGGACUCGCGGCUUAUCAGCUUGUUGGUGGGGUAGUGGCUUACCAAGGCUUUGACGGGUAGCCGGCCUUAGAGGGUGACCGGCCACAUUGGGACUGAGAUACGGCCCAGACUCCUACGGGAGGCAGCAGUGGGGAAUAUUGCACAAUGGGCGGAAGCCUGAUGCAGCAACGCCGCGGGCGGGAUGACGGCCUUCGGGUUGUAAACCGCUUUCGCCUGUGACGAAGCGUGAGUGACGGUAAUGGGUAAAGAAGCACCGGCUAACUACGUG